AUGGAAAAGCUCCAAGGCAAAAGCCUUAUUUUGGGAGGAGAUGCCCGAUGUGAUUCCAUGGGUCAUUGUGCAAAGUUUGGGAGUUAUAGUUUACUGGAACUUGAAACAAAUAGCUGAUUUCUGUUCAACUUGUUCAGAGUAAUGAAACCCUGGGAAGCUAUCACAUGGAGCUGGAGGGUCUAAAACGUUGUCGAGAUGAAGUCGGUGAACAUCCAAUAACAGCUCUGGUGACAGACCAACACCGACAGGUGGCUAAGUGGGUACGAGACAGUUGGAAAGUGCCUCAUUUCUAUGAAUGCUGGCAUGUAGUGAAAGGACUAAGCAAACAACUGGACCAGCUAUCAAAAAAGAAGGGCUGCGAAAGUAUAAAGGAGUGGAUAAAGGGGAUAACCUAUCACCUAUAUUGGUGUGUUAUGUCGUCGGACCCUGGUGAUGAAGAUGCCAUAAAGGAGAAGUGGUUAUCCACUAUAGACAAAAUAAAGACUAUUUCAAAAUUCAAGCAAAAUUCUUUUCAGGUAGUGAAUGCUUUGUCGAGUUGGAGGAGCUUUUGACAAAACCUCAUUUCCUAAAAGAUGUCAUCAUAUGGGCAAACAAGUGGAGUGGAAAGCUAUCAUAGCCUUAUCAACCACUUCGUUCCAAAAAUGUAUAGCUUUUCAUAUAAUGGUAUGCGCAGCAGGUAAUUUCAACUUUUGGACUUGUGGUACCCUUGAAUUUUCUCAAAUUUGUUUAGCUAGUAAUUACAAGGUCUAAUCUAAUUACAGGAUUCUUCUAGCAGCCAUGCACUAUAAUGAAAAUGCUGGUAGGCCCCAAGCUGUGACAAAGGCAGGUACA